UUUUGUUCCAGGACAAAGGAGACAGUAGGUCUAUUUUAAGUAAGAUAUACUUUUAAGAGACACUAUGCAGAAAUGAGACUGCUCUAAAAAUGUUAAGAGAAAUGGAAUAAGUGGAUUGUGGCUAAAGGCCAUUUUUGGCACUUGAAGGUCGCAUGCAGAGAUCGUUCUCAGAGUGUAUGACGGAAGUGAUGUAGGCAGAGCCUUCUUGAAUUGUGGACAUCAGAACUGGACAGCAGCAGUGGCACCAGUGUCAACUACAGAAGUAAAAUAAUCUCUCUAUUCCUACUCAAGAGUUUCCUUUUUAUGCAUCCAAGGAUUACAUUAGCCUUUUUAGUCAUUGCAUCACACUGGGAGUUCAUGCUGAGCUGAUUUAUCCACUCUGACCCCCAAAUCUCUUUUGGAGUUACUGCUUCCCAAGAUAAUCCCCACAACCUCUGUUUCCUUCUCCACUGCCGAUUUUUCAGGAAUGGAUAAUUCUGCAUUUAACUGAAAUUGCAACACCCACCUCUGGCUAU